rnacentral:misc_RNA from 1 species
GGAAGGAUCAUUAGCAAAUCACGGGAUGGGCCACCGAAGGUGGGCCAUCAUCAGUCCCAGGGAUGGAUGUCUGUGUGACUCUAUCUCUGUGAUCAAUGGACCAGAGUCUGAAUCUCAGGGACCAGAGUCAAUCUCAGGGACCAGAGUCUGAAUCUCAAGGGACCAGAGUCUGAAUCUCAAGGGACCAGAGUCUGAAUCUCAAGGGACCAGAGUCUGAAUCUCAAGGGACCAGAGUCUGAAUCUCAAGGGACCAGAGUCUGAAUCUCAAGGGACCAGAGUCUGAAUCUCAAGGGACCAGAGUCUCCCCAUUAGUGCCACGCACAAGUAUAUACACACACACAAUCAGCACAACGAUAAAACAACUUUUAACAAUGGAUCUCUGGGCUCCUGCAACGAUGAAGAACGCAGCGAAAUGCGAAACGUAGUACGAUCCGCACACACCUGUGAGUCAUCGAGUCUUUGAACGCACAUGGCACACUCAGUGUCAACUGAGUGUAUACCUGUUUGAGCGAUGGAACACUUCUAUACUGUCAUGGUAUGAGCUGACUGUUCUCAGUAGAGUCGGUCUAAAUAGAGCGUGUGGGUGUGGAGAAGCAGAUCUGCCCCGUGUGAGACUGGAUCGUUGAUCCUUGACCUUGACCACGGGAGCAAGCAGAUUCAAUACUCUAUACAUAGAACCACACACCAGAAUCUCAGAUUCAUCUAAUCACCAUCCUCAAAUCAGGCAAGGCUACCCGCUGAACUUAAGCAUAUCAGUAAGCGGAGGAAAAGAAACUAACAAGGAUUCCCCCAGUAAUGGCGAAUGAAGCGGGAAGAGCUCAAAUUUUAAAUCUGAUUCCAGAGAUGGAGUCCGAGUUGUAGUUUAGAAAUAUGUAGGUGCAAGGGGAGAGAGAUGUCCAAGUCCACUGGAACGUGGUGCCAGAGAGGGUGAUAGUCCCGUUGGAUGUAGACCUCCCCCGUAUACCUAGAUAUUAACGAGUCGAGUUGUUUGGGAAUGCAGCUCAAAGCGGGUGGUAAACCCCAUCCAAGGCUAAAUACAGGCAGGAGACCGAUAGCAAACAAGUACCGUGAGGGAAAGAUGAAAAGCACCUUGAAAAGGGAGUGAAAAGCACGUGAAAUUGUUAGAAGGGAAACGAUUAGUUUCUAGUGGAGGACUAUGUAUGGUCCUGGUCACAGCGUGUGAGGGGGGCGGGAAAGAGUGGGGAGGAAGGUGGUCUCUACAGACUCUAUAGCCUGCCCAUUGAACGGCCCUGCUGACACUGAUUCUCUACAGAGUAGUGACAAAAUAGAACUAAACGACCCGUCUUGAAACACGGACCAAGGAGUCUAACGUGUGUGCGAGUAUUCGAGCGGCAAACUCGGGUGCGGAAUGAAAAUGAUCAAGGUGGGAAGUAUCUCAGGUACUGCACCACCGGCGGACAGCCCCUUCGGGCAGCUCCAGCUUGAGCACACCCGCUAGGACCCGAAAGAUGGUGAACUAUGCCUGAAUAGGGCGAAGCCAGAGGAAACUCUGGUGGAGGCUCGUAGACGUUCUGACGUGCAAAUCGAUGUUCAAAUUUGGGUAUAGGGGCGAAAGACUAAUCGAACCAUCUGGUAGCUGGUUCCUUC